rnacentral:rRNA from 1 species
AGAACGAACGCUGGCGGCAGGCUUAACACAUGCAAGUCGAACGCCCCGCAAGGGGAGUGGCAGACGGGUGAGUAACGCGUGGGAAUCUACCCAGAACUUCGGAACAACUGAGGGAAACUUCAGCUAAUACCGGAUACGCCCUACGGGGGAAAGAUUUAUCGGUUCUGGAUGAGCCCGCGUUGGAUUAGCUAGUUGGUGGGGUAAUGGCCUACCAAGGCGACGAUCCAUAGCUGGUCUGAGAGGAUGAUCAGCCACACUGGGACUGAGACACGGCCCAGACUCCUACGGGAGGCAGCAGUGGGGAAUAUUGGACAAUGGGCGAAAGCCUGAUCCAGCCAUGCCGCGUGAGUGAUGAAGGCCUUAGGGUUGUAAAGCUCUUUCAGUAGGGAAGAUAAUGACGGUACCUACAGAAGAACGCCCCGGCUAACCGUUCGUGCCAGCAGCCGC